AGGGGUUUGCCCCAUUUACCUGUGAGUGGUCAUUUAAAGCAAGGCCACAUAACAAGUGACAAAUGUUCAAAUCUAAGACCUAAAUCCAGAUUCUCUUUGUUCUGCCAUGCUGUUUAUCCAACCACCGGUAAUCCCCACCCAGAUCUGUGAAGAACCUGAGAAAGGGGUGUGUAGUCUGAUUUUUAGGUAGGGAAGGUGACAGAUUCCAGCGUGUGCCUUAGGCAGUGUGACCAGCAAGCAGCAAAUCUAAGACUGGAAUUUAAGUCUCCUGAUUUCUGGGUCUGUCCACCACCACCCCUCUCAGCAUGCAAGAGCAUUUAUCAUAAAUGCUGCACCCAGUAGUAAGCAGUUUGGUGCAUACAUUUAUUGUCUCAUUUCUGCAAGACUGAAUGUUAACAUGAGGCUUUGUUGUUUAUAGGGCACUAUACAGAAGGCAUGUGCAAGAAAGCUUAUUUCAUAUACAGAAGGCAUAUGCAAGAAAGCUUAUUCAUCUCUUUUUCUUCCUUCAACCAUAGUCUCAUCAAAGCACAUGCAACUUCCUUUCCCAGUGCCACUCUAAGUCAUAUGGACACAAACACAAGAAAUCAAUAGGACUCAAAACAUGAUCAGGAAGCUCAAAAGGAGGAGAGCAAGUGUGAAGUUUUUGGAUAAAUCUCUGACCUUGAAGAUAGCAUAAGAGGCCAAUGGUGUACUUUCCUGGAAGAUAACACCUAGAAUUUAUAAGCAUUAAGACAGAGAUUUUGAAAUCUCUGGAGGGGAUCCUUUGUGCAACCAAGGUAAUGAGCCACUGCAGUCAAGUGAAGCCUGCAGACCAAGAUCUGAGAUUUCACAGACCUGCACCCAGGUUCAGGACCCCCAGUCCUGCACAAAUCAUGUGAACCUAGUGGAUUGAAUACUAGACAGAUCAAAUCCUUCCCCAACUAAUAACUCUUCCUCCCAGUUCAAUUCCAACCCUAAAAUAAAUCACCUCCCACUUUUUUUCUGUACAGUUUGAUGGGGGAGGAGUGGCUAUCCUCGUUGGCUGAGCUGGCUUCCGUUUGGGGUUUUCUCCCUUUUCCUUUGGCUGGUCUUGCUAGAAGUGGACGAGAGCUUUGAAGCCUCAUUUUCUUUGUGUUAAGAGCUGUCAGACUUAUAGUUGUCAAAGAGCCAGGCUUAGUGAUGGGCAUUAAGGGUGGAGCAGGGAAACCUGUCCUCAUUCUUAAAUAAGACCAACAGUGGAGCGAGGUGAUGCGAAAGUGAUAAUGCGAUUGGAUGUACUUUGGGAGUGUAGGGGAGAGACUUCAUCAACACAUGCUUACGCAAACACAGUUGGCUGUGGAUUUCUCCAGGCUCAGGAAGAAGUGUGCUUGGGCAAAGCUAAUUCUUCCUCUGUGCUCUGGAGCCCACCUCUUCCUUGCCUAGGCAGGUGUCCUCCCACGUCCAUCACUUCUCCACUUGCUCCAUCCAGUGUGCGUAACCUUUUUGGGGUCACAGCCCCUUUGGGACUCUGAUGGAGGUUGUGGAUCCUCUUUUGGAGACAUGCAGAUGGCACAUUCAGUUUUGUGCUCAUUCCAGGGACAUUUAGGCUCCCCAAGGCCAAUCCAUGGAUCCUCUAGGGCAGUGAUGGCGAACCUAUGACACGCAUGUCAGCACUGACACGCGUAGCCAUUUCUGAUGACACGUGGCCGCAUGCCGAGGAUGAAACAUUUGCUGCUCCUGAGGAUGAAACAUUUGCGACUAGAGUCUUGGAGUUAGUUUUUUUCCUCAAAGUGACACACUACCCGAGUUAUGCUCAGUUUUUUGGCGAAGUUUGACACACCAAGCUCAAAAGGUUGCCCCUCACUGCUCUAGGGCCUAAAGUCUCACCUGGGAAUGCACAUUCAUCACCAGUGACACUUUAAAAAAUGAAGGGAGACAAAUUUUGCUUCUGGCUUCCUUCCCUUAGCAAAUCGAGGCAUGGUCCAGCACCCAGACUAGAACUCCAGGAGGCAUUCCUGUGUAUCAUACAAAAUUAUUUAUCAUGCACUCUCUUUGUAGCAAACGUGGUCCUAGACCUUGGGUGCCAGAGCAAACAAGUUCUAUCAAACCCUCUUCUCACAUCUUUUGUGUGAAACUGUCUGGAUCCCUUAACAUGAUUUACUAAGCUCUUCAUAGUCUCUUUCUGACCUCCUCUCUACUUCCUGUGCACCUUUUACUGCAGCCUGGAGGCUUGUGCUAGCUGUGCUGUGUGCCUUUGCUCCCUGUCCUUGGUGCCUGUAGUACCUCAGCACUACUCCCCAGCCCUGCCUACUUAGCAGACUUAGGUUUCUUUUAAGGUUUGGUUCAAGUCCCAUCUCUGGGAAACCUCUCAUUGUCCUAUGGUGAAGGGCAUGUUUAGAAAUAUAUUUAGAAAUAUAGAAGAGCAUGACAUGAUAUGUAUCCAGAGUUUUACUUUAUGCUUUGAAAUAAAAAAAAAUCUG